rnacentral:rRNA from 1 species
AACGAACGCUGGCGGCAGGCUUAACACAUGCAAGUCGAACGCCCCGCAAGGGGAGUGGCAGACGGGUGAGUAACACGUGGGAACGUGCCCAAAGGUACGGAACAACUCCGGGAAACUGGAGCUAAUACCGUAUGUGUCCGUAAGGAGAAAGAUUUAUCGCCUUUGGAUCGGCCCGCGUCGGAUUAGCUAGUUGGUGGGGUAAAAGCCUACCAAGGCGACGAUCCGUAGCUGGUUUGAGAGAACGACCAGCCACACUGGGACUGAGACACG